GACUGUCUGCUCUCACCCUGGAACACCAACGUACCAUGGCUGAGCUGGAGACACUGAGACGCAUGCAGACAGAGAGAGGGAAGGACUCACACAGUCACAGAGAGAUGGAGGGAAGAGACACAGAAGAGAGGCCGGCUGGUGAAGACAUAAAUGAGGUGGAGGCGCUGGAUGGGGAGGAAAGAGAGGAUUCAGAAAGGGAAGUGGAAGGAGAGAAAAUAAUAAAUAGUGAGGGAGUGGAUAUUAAGAUGGGAGGGCAGUCUCCUGAGGAGCUUGUUAGUGGAGGGGAGAACCUGCUCAAAGGGAAGGGGGUGGCAGAGACGUACCUACGGAAUUUGGUUGCAGCUGGAGAGAAGGGGUGCGGCUUAAGAGAUCCACGGAGGAUCGUGAUGAUGUCAGAGCGUUCCAGGAGCCUCUCUCGACUUCCCCUGCCCACGGACUCUCUCCCUGCACAGAAGGGUAGCUCCCAGACCACCACUAGUACAACACUGCCUCUAUGCAAGGUAAGGCUUGUAUUCAACCAACACGUUUGUUUUUG
ensembl:lncRNA